CCCACAAGAGAAAGCUCAGACCUUCACGGUGCUGACCUUCAUUAGCACAUUGUCCUCAUGCUUUCCACGAGAAUUCCGAGCACACAGAUCUGCAUUAUGAGGAGGACGGCAUUUUUAAAUAAGCUGGUUGGUUUGUGACAGCAACAUCUCAACCUGAAUUCUGAAACGAAUGGGUGGAAGACAUACUCAGCGAGAUACAGUACCCGACGCCCGUUUUCAGGUGGGAGCAGAGGAAACGGAGAAUGAGGGAAGCCCUGAAUCAAUGUCUUUAAACAUCACCGUGGCCUGUCAAAGACUCUGAGACCAAUAUGCCCAUGGCAAAUUGUCAAGACUGUUUUUCUUAUGGAC